AUACGGAGGGUCCGAGCGUUAAUCGGAAUUACUGGGCGUAAAGCGCGCGUAGGCGGCUAUAUAAGUCAGAUGUGAAAUCCCUGGGCUCAACCUAGGAACUGCAUUUGAAACUGUAUGGCUAGAGUAUGGUAGAGGUGAGUGGAAUUUCGGGUGUAGCGGUGAAAUGCGUAGAGAUCUGAAGGAACAUCAGUGGCGAAGGCGACUCACUGGGCCAUUACUGACGCUGAGGUGCGAAAGCGUGGGUAGCAAACAGGAUUAGAAACCCUAGUAGUCC
rnacentral:rRNA from 1 species